GAAAUCUCAAAAAUGCCUCACAAUAAAUAUACUAAUGGCAGUUAAGAUCUGCCUAUCUAGAUAUUGGAAGUCUACAAACAACUCAGGUCACUGAAAUCUUAAUUCAAAUUAAUCAUCAAGGAAUUAUGGAAAAAGCUUUCUUUUUCAAUAACAGUAAUAUUCCGAAGUAUAAUAAAAUUUGGUCUUAAUGGUUUGAAUACUAUAAAAAGGAAAUAUGACCUACAACAAAUCUGCUGGGCAUAGAUAGUUGGAAACACUGCAGAUGCACCUGCCUCUCUCUGCUCAACCUCAAUUAUUUGUUGGCCGCCUUUCCAACACCCCCCUCCCCCCCACCCUUUUCUUCUCCUUUGAGCGCACAUACUCGAUCAUCCUCUCUCGGACAAACUUCAAUUCAGGCUAAUUAAUUUAGGAUGUUGUCUUGUUUAUUUUGCAUUUUGUGAGUAUCUGUAAUUUAGACUUUUAACAAAAAAAGAGGUUCAUUUAGAAAUUCCUAUCUCCUCCUCUGAUAACCCUUAAUCACACACAAGGCCAGGCUAUUAACAGGGCUAGAGAUAAGGAAUUCUAAAUUAAACUCACUUUGUAAUGAAGGAAAUAUAACAAUGAGAUCUCUUUACAGGGGUGUGUGUGUAUGUAUAUAUAUAUAUGUGUAUAUAUAUAUAUAUAUAUAUAUAUAUAUAUAUACACACACACACAUAUGUUUCAAAUGUAUGCAAACUUGUCAGGCUUCCACAGAUAUAUCCCUUUAUAUAUUUAUGCAAAAAUGGAUGCAUAGCUGACAUGUAAACUUUAGCCUAUUUUGGAAUUUUGUAUAUUAAUUUCUCUUUAAAGAUGCAUAAAGAUUUAUGUACAUUUUA